rnacentral:tRNA from 1 species
UAUCUGGUGGUCUAGAGGCUAAGACUCUGAGCUCUCAACGCAGGGGGCCCAGGUUCUAUCCCUGGUCAGGAAA